GACAGAGGCCUCGAGCGUUAGGCGGAAUCACUGGGCUUAAAGCGUGUGUAGGCGGGCCCGUAAGUGUCUUGUGAAAUCCCACGGCUCAACCGUGGAACUGCUGGGCAUACUGCGGGUCUUGGGCCAACUAGGGGCAGCCGGAACAAGCGGUGGAGCAGUGAAAUGCGUAGAUAUCGCUUGGAGCGCCGAAGGUGAAAACAGGCUGCUGGGGUUGCGCCGACGCUGAGACACGAAAGCCAGGGGAGCAAACGGG
rnacentral:rRNA from 1 species